CCUACGGGAGGCAGCAGUUGGGAAUCUUGCGCAAUGGGCGAAAGCCUUACGCAGCGACGCCGCGUGGAGGAUGACGGCCUUCGGGUCGUAAAGCUCUGUCAGAGGGGAAGAAAUGCAGGUGGUGAACAACCAUUCUGUUUGACGGUACCCUCAAAGGAAGCACCGGCCAACUCCGUGCCAGCAGCCGCGGUAAUACGGAGGGUGCGAGCGUUGUUCGGAAUUAUUGGGCGUAAAGCGCGUGUAGGCGGUUUGUUAAGUCUGAUGUGAAAGCCCCGGGCUCAACCUGGGAAGGGCAUUGGAUACUGGCAGACUUGAGUACGGGAGAGGAGAGUGGAAUUCCCAGUGUAGGAGUGAAAUCCGUAGAUAUUGGGAGGAACACCGGUGGCGAAGGCGGCUCUCUGGACCGAUACUGACGCUGAGACGCGAAAGCGUGGGGAGCAAACAGGAUUAGAUACCCCUGUAGU
rnacentral:rRNA from 1 species